UUUUUAUUUUUUAUUUUUACCCCAGCCGAAAUAGGAUCUAUUUUGGAUUAAAUAAAGCAGUGUCGGUUUGUGUGGAGGACUGGGGGGUGCUGCUGUCCCGACCGCCGCUCUCAGUACGGGGGGAGAGCAGAGCCGGCGGUGCACAGCGGCAGCUUCAAGUGGGCUCAUUGCGAGUCCUGCAGGAGCGAGAGCCGUCUGUGCACCCACAGCAAGAUAAACUUGUCCUAGAGAUGGUUUCGUGUAGGCUAAAAGACACUUUUUUCUUUGUAUUUGAAUGGGUUUUUACAAGGGGAAAAUAAUGUCCCCCCCACGCUUAUUCACCCUGGCGUUUAAGCGGGUCGCACUCUGAAUGUCAUUGCGUUUGUGCCAUUUCUACGCCAGCUCAUCACCUUGGAAGGACCAAAGGUUUCUGUUCUCAGCGCAGUGUUUCCCUGCUCUGCUCCGCGCUGCUUAUGGAACGGCGGCGAUAACCACCGGCACAGCACCUCCCCACGCCGGGGUGGAGGGGGAUCACGCUGCGUACCCGGGACGGUGCUUUAACAGCACUUUGAGAGGCGUUGAACUUCACUCUUUCUUUUUUCUUUUCCUUUUUUUUUUUUUCUUUUUUUCUUUCUUUUUCUUUUUCUCUUUCUUUUUUUCUUUAUUUUUUUAUUUUCUUCUUUAUUUUUUUCUUUUUUCCUUUAUAUAUAUAUAUAUAGGGGAUUUUUCAUUUUUCAUUUUUCGUUUUCCCCCAUCCGGUGCAGAUCCGGAGCGGAGGACGAUAAGAAUGAUCACCUUCGAAUAUUUGGGUGAAAAAAAUGCACACCCGCACGCACCCGCACUUCUCAGUCUUUCUGUCGCUGUAUUUUUGAGCUGAGAUCCAAAGUAAUUUGCGCUGCGACUUUGGUUCUUCCACCUUGGUGAUAAGAACGGGGCAGAGACGCUCUUAACGCUCAUCUCCCCAAAGAUUUUCUUCCCUCGGAGACAUCGCAAAGCGGUUUCCCUUUGCCCCCGGGGAGGCGGAUCGGGGGGGCCGUGGGAUACCCCGGGGUCCCAAUGCCCCGUGUCCGUCCUUUUGCACUGCUUCAAGUCUAUAGCGAAGGAGAAACCAAGGAGCAUUAUUGCCCCCAGCAACUCAUAGAAGUCGGUAGUGGUGGGAGAGUGGAAAUGUGAGUUUUUGUGCCAUGUAACGCGGUGUCCCGGUACAGCUAUGCACAUGCAUAUACACGUCCAGUGCACGGGAAAAAAAGCCAUGGAUGCUUGUUUAUGGGAGAGACAGAGAAAACAAAAGAAUUCGGGAAAUAUGUUGACACUGGGGAUUGUUGAAGGCAUUUGACUAGUUCCAUCGUAGGGACACCAGAUGUUAUUUAUGAGUUCUCGUAUAAGUAUGGGCCGUACCACUCAGGUGGGGAGGGGAAAAGGAGAAAAGCAAAAGGAAGAAAGAAGAGUUUGCCCCAAAGCGAUGGAAGACAAAAAUGAUGUUUAUGACUACAUAAAUCAAGGUGAAGUUUUGUAAUGGAAACUAGAAGUACUUCGAAUUGCAGGGGAAAAAAAAAAAAGAGAGAGAGAGAGAGACUGGGGCAAGGCAGGAGAAACAGAGAUAAAGCCCCGCCGGUCAUAGCUGGGAAACCAGAUUUUAACACCAGACCUGUGGGGAGGGGACGUUGUCAUGAGAUAUAGAUUCCAGACCUCAAGCAGUGCAGAUGCUCUCGAAGCAGCCACCUGUAUUUAUUGCAGACAUGGACGUGCAUUCAUUGGGUUUGCAAUCUCAAAAUCAAGGAGUAAGAAACUGAGGGUGAAGCUUUCCUCGUUCCACUGGGUCUGCUUUUAAAAGGAGACCCCGAUUUCUCCAAGCCUGCACUUCUGCUGAGUUAUAAAACAACUUCCCUCACUCUUUUAUUUAUUCAUUCAUUUCAAUCCCCUCCUCCUUUUUUUUUUUUUUUUAAUUUAUUUUUUACAUAACUGUUGCACAGCCCUUGGACGACACAGAAACUUCCUGAACCACCCCCCCCUCUUCUCCCUCCCUCCUUCCCCUCUAAACGGCCCUCCCAGACUCCACUGGGAACUCCGCGGACUGUUGCGAAAGCUUUCAUGCAAAACAUCUGCUCUCCUCAAAAUAAUAUCGUCGGGGCGAUGAGCACAAAAGGAAACAAAACAAGCCGGAAAAUUAAAAAGAAAAAAAGAAAAAGAAAAAAAAAAAAAGAAGAAGAAGAAGAAGGGAAAAAAAAAAAGAAAA
ensembl:lncRNA